GAUGAAGAACGCAGCGAAAUGCGAUACGUAAUGUGAAUUGCAGAAUUCCGCGAAUCAUCGAAUCUUUGAACGCACAUUGCGCCCGCCAGUAUUCUGGCGGGCAUGCCUGUCUGAGCGUCAUUUCAACCCUCAAGCAACUUCUGCUUGGUGUUGGGGAUCGGCCGUCAAACGCCGCCCCCGAAAUCUAUUGGCGAUCUCGCUGUAGCUUCCUAUGCGUAGUAGUAACAUCUCGCAUCUGGAGAGCGGCGCGGUCAUGCCGUAAAACACCCAACUUCUCAGGUUGACCUCAGAUCAGGUAGGAAUACCCGCUGAACUUAAGCAUAUCAAUAAGCGGAGGA
rnacentral:misc_RNA from 1 species